rnacentral:rRNA from 1 species
UAGAUAGCUGGAAACGGCUGCUAAUACUGGAUAUUCAGGCUGCAUCGCAUGGUGUGGUUUGGAAAGGUUUUUUCUGGAAUGGGGUGGGCUCGCGGCCUAUCAGCUUGUUGGUGGGGUGAUGGCUUACCAAGGCUUUGACGGGUAGCCGGCCUGAGAGGGUGGUCGGUCGCACUGGGACUGAGAUACGGCCCAGACUCCUACGGGAGGCAGCAGCC